GAUGAACGCUGACAGAAUGCUUAACACAUGCAAGUCUACUUGAUUCUACUUCGGUCGUUGAUGGUGGCGGACGGGUGAGUAACGCGUAAAGAAUCUGCCCUUUAGUUUGGGAUAACCUUUGGAAACGAAGGCUAAUACCGGAUAUUAUGGAGACGUCGCAUGGCGACUCCAUGAAAGCUAUAUGCGCUAGGGGAGGACUUUGCUUCCCAUUAGUUAGUUGGUGAGGUAAUGGCUCACCAAGACCGCGAUGGGUAGCCGGCCUGAGAGGGUGAUCGGCCACAAGGGAACUGAGACACGGUCCUUACUCCUACGGGAGGCAGCAGUGGGGAAUAUUGGACAAUGGGCCACAAGCCUGAUCCAGCAAUUCUGUGUGCACGAUGAAGGUCUUCGGAUUGUAAAGUGCUUUCAGUAGGGAAGAAAAAAAUGACGGUACCUACAGAAGAAGCGACGGCUAAAUAUGUGCCAGCAGCCGCGGUAACAC
rnacentral:rRNA from 1 species